rnacentral:tRNA from 1 species
GGGCCGUUAGCUUAGUUGGUAGAGCGCUGCAUUCGCAUUGCAGAGAUCAGCAGUUCGAUUCUGCUACGGUCCACCA